rnacentral:rRNA from 1 species
ACACGUCUACAUUAGAUACCCCCGUAGUCCCAGCCGUAAACUAUGCGCGUUAGGUGUAUCGGUGACCACGAGUCACCGAGGUGCCGAAGGGAAACCGUGAAACGUGCCGCCUGGGAAGUACGGUCGCAAGGCUGAAACUUAAAGGAAUUGGCGGGGAGCACCACAACGGGUGGAGCCUGCGGUUUAAUUGGACUCAACGCCGGGAAGCUCACCGGAUAAGACAGCGGAAUGAUUGCCGGGCUGAAGACUCUGCAUGACUAGCUG